rnacentral:rRNA from 1 species
GCUGAGAGGUGGUGCAUGGCCGUCGUCAGUUCGUACUGUGAAGCAUCCUGUUAAGUCAGGCAACGAGCGAGACCCACGCCAACAGUUGCCAGCUCGUCCUCCGGGAUGGAGGGGACACUGUUGGGACCGCCUCUGCUAAAGAGGAGGAAGGAAUGGGCAACGGUAGGUCAGCAUGCCCCGAAUUAAUUGGGCUACACGCGGGCUACAAUGGGUGGGACAAUGGGUAUCGACACCGAAAGGUGAAGGCAAUCUCCUAAACCCAUCCGUAGUUCGGAUUGUGGGCUGCAACUCGCCCACAUGAAGCUGGAAUCUGUAGUAAUCGUGUUUCAAAAUAGCACGGUGAAUAUGUCCCUGCUCCUU